rnacentral:rRNA from 1 species
UACGUAGGGAGCAAGCGUUGUCCGGAAUCAUUGGGCGUAAAGCGCGCGUAGGUGGCCCUGUAAGUCCGUUGUGAAAGUCAAAGGCUCAACCUUUGAAAGCCGAUGGAUACUGCAGGGCUAGAGUACGGAAGAGGCGAGUGGAAUUCCUGGUGUAGCGGUGGAAUGCGCAGAUAUCAGGAGGAACACCAGUGGCGAAGGCGGCUCACUGGCCCGGUACUGACGCUGAGGCACGAAAGCGUGGGGAGCAAACAGG